UACAGAGGUGGCAAGCGUUGUUCGGAAUUACUGGGCGUAAAGCGUGCGCAGGCGGUCUUGCAAGACAGGUGUGAAAUCCCCGGGCUUAACCUGGGAACUGCACUUGUGACUGCAAGGCUGGAGUACGGCAGAGGGGGAUGGGAAUUCCGCGUGUAGGCAGUGAAAUGCGUAGAUAUCGAGAGGAACACCUGCGGCGAAGGCGGGUUGCUGGGCUGACACUGACGUGAACUGCGAGAGCUAGGGGAGCGAACGGG
rnacentral:rRNA from 1 species